GCCAGCAUGGUCCAGUGGUUUGAGUGUUGACUACAACUCUAGAGACCAGGGUUCGAAUCCCGGCUCAGCCA